AAAGGAGACUAUAAAAGGAGCUGCGGUGAACCGGGCUCGUUCUUUUACGACGGAGCCUAAGAUAUUCUUUGUCUUGUCGGUACUAGAGUCACCGAAAGAGACAUCCUAUUAUAUGCACGUUCACAAGGACAAUGGCGCCAUUGUUCUUCGCGUCUUCAAAGCAGCUACGAGAAGAAACCAAGAUGGAGGGGAGCCCAAAGCAUCUGAGAGAAUUGAUAAAUGAAAGAAACAUGCUUAAAACAUGACCGUUUUAAAGGUGAAUGCUGACCAGUGAGAAAACUAGAUGUGACCAUCCAGAAAAAGCAUAGACAAAAAAAUGCAGUCUUAGUACUGGGAUGUUUGAGAUGGGGUCUAUCUACAUGUCUCUAGCUGUCCCUAUCAGGACAGCAUCUGGUGUGGCCUGCAGAGUUGAUUCCUGUACUUUUUUUUUUUUGUGGGCUGUAUGUAAAUGGAUUGUUUUGACAAUCCAUUCGACAGUGUUCUCUUCUGUGAAGGUCAUAGGUGAGCUGAUUGACAGACACAGCUGUACAGACUGAAUGCAAUCCUGACUAUAAAGCUGCAGUUCAUCAUUAUGAGCUAUUUCCUUAUUCUGGCAGUGAUUGAAAUAAAAUGGGGAGUAUUGAAAUAAAAAACAUUCAAUUGCAAAUA
ensembl:processed_transcript Snhg5 small nucleolar RNA host gene 5